rnacentral:rRNA from 1 species
UGGGGAAUUUUGGACAAUGGGGGAAACCCUGAUCCAGCCAUCCCGCGUGUGCGAUGAAGGCCUUCGGGUUGUAAAGCACUUUUGGCCGGAAAGAAACGUCAUGGGUUAAUACCCCGUGAAACUGACGGUACCUGCAGAAUAAGCACCGGCUAACUACGUGCCAGCAGCCGCGGAAAUACGUAGUGUGCAAGCGUUAAUCGGAAUUACUGGGCGUAAAGCGUGCGCAGGCGGUUCGGAAAGAAAGAUGUGAAAUCCCAGAGCUCAACUUUGGAACUGCAUUUUUAACUACCGGGCUAGAGUGUGUCAGAGGGAGGUGGAAUUCCGCGUGUAGCAGUGAAAUGCGUAGAUAUGCGGAGGAACACCGAUGGCGAAGGCAGCCUCCUGGGAUAACACUGACGCUCAUGCACGAAAGCGUGGGGAGCAAACAGG